rnacentral:rRNA from 1 species
UACAGAGGUGGCAAGCGUUGUUCGGAAUUACUGGGCGUAAAGGGCGCGUAGGCGGCCAUCUAAGUCAGACGUGAAAUCCCCCGGCUUAACCUGGGAACUGCGUCUGAUACUGGACGGCUGGAGUUUGGGAGAGGGAUGUAGAAUUCCAGGUGUAGCGGUGAAAUGCGUAGAUAUCGGGAGGAACACCAGUGGCGAAGGCGACUACCUGGCCUGUUUCUUGACGCUGAGGCGCGAAAGCUAGGGGAGCAAACGGG